rnacentral:misc_RNA from 1 species
AUAUCUCAACUCCUAAAGUCUGUAAUGGACGAUAGGGGCUUGGACUUGGAGGCUUGCCGGCGCUCGUCGGCUCCUCUCAAAUGCAUUAGCUAUGGAUCACGAUGUGUACGAUCUACGGUGUGAUAUAUGUCUACGCUAUAGAUCUGCACGCGAGUUACCACCUUCGGGUAGCGCCUCUUAGGGGCCGUGUGACGAGUGAAUACAGAGCUUCUAAUCGUCUUCGGACAACUUCUUUGAC